rnacentral:rRNA from 1 species
UACGGAGGAUGCAAGCGUUAUCCGGAAUUAUUGGGCGUAAAGGGUCCGCAGGUGGCGAUUCAAGUCUGCUGUUAAAGCGUGGAGCUUAACUCCAUAAAGGCAGUGGAAACUGAGUUGCUAGAGUACGGUAGGGGUCACGGGAAUUCCCAGUGUAGCGGUGAAAUGCGUAGAUAUUGGGAAGAACACCAGCGGCGAAAGCGCGUGACUGGGCCUGUACUGACACUGAGGGACGAAAGCUAGGGGAGCGAAAGGG